rnacentral:rRNA from 1 species
GGACUACAGGGGUAUCUAAUCCUGUUCGCUCCCCACGCUUUCGUCCAUCAGCGUCAAUAAACCGGUAGUAACCUGCCUUCGCAAUUGGUAUUCCAUGUAAUAUCUAAGCAUUUCACCGCUACACUACAUAUUCUAGUUACUUCCCGAUAAUUCAAGUCUAUCAGUAUCAAUGGCCGUUCCACAGUUGAGCUGCGGGCUUUCACCACUGACUUAAUAAACCGCCUACGGACCCUUUAAACCCAAUGAUUCCGGAUAACGCUUGGAUCCUCCGUAUUACCGCGGCUGCUGGCAC